UCAUAGGAUUUCCUAGAAUCAGAAUGGAUUGGAAGUUCUAACACCCUUAGCAGUCUGUCUCUUCUCACUCCAGCCCCACUCCUUCUAUCUGCUUUGGUUUUGGGUUUCAGCUGUCCCUGUUUCUCUUUUGGCCCCUUCUCAUGAUCUUGGAUCAUGCAUCUCAGUGCAUCUUCCCACCAGCACUCCUUGGGCAGUGCAUGUGGGGAUGUUAGGAGGCACAGGGAGUCCCACCAUGUGCAACCAGCAAAGCCCUUGUUGAGAGAGCUCUUCUGGUGGUUUGUAUCCCAGAACAUGAUCCCACUACACAGCUUGAACCUACAUGGUUUUCCACUUGGUGACUUCUAUCUCCUGCCUUGCUCCAUGAAGGUCCAUGCAAGAAGGUUCGUGGCAUGAUUUUGAGAUGUAGUUUGGAGGAGACCGUGCCUCUGGUCAGCAGGUGAGAGUUUCUAACCUGCUUAUGGACCCAUCCCCUGGGGCAACCCAAGUCCAGAAGUGUUGCCUGCAGAAAGCAGCCUUGUGGCCAAGGUCUGGAGAUGAUGGAGAUGACCAAACGCCUUGCACCUUCCUUAACAGUGUGCACCAAAAUGUGCAAAAUUCAGUGCUUCCAGGACAUGACAUUGCCAUAGGUAGAUCAUACCGUAACCUGAACGUGCCCUGCAGUGUACACUGCUGUAGGAACAUCUCCCAGAGAGGUGGUGUUACUCAGAACAUUGCAUUUGGUGUCCCAUGCACUGGCCGUGCUGUGCAAAACUCAGGAUUUGCUGUGAAAAUUUGCCUGUGAAGUGCUUGUGGCUUGUGGAUGUCACAUUUCUGCCCUAUUCUUUCAGCAGGAGCCUCUGCAAAUAAACUGUGAAUAUUUAUGGGCAGAUUUUCAAAUGAGACUGGGAUCCUUCAGAAGCAGUCAGCUUUCAUGGCUGAAUAAUAGAAGUCGGUAGGAAACGGGGUUUUCUUCCUGUUUUGUGGGAAAUCUCAUGAUUUUGGAUUCUUUUCCCCAAACCAAACCAAACUCAAAGCUCUCCGCAAGACAGAAUAAAAUUAAACAAUCAUAUUGGGCCAAUCAAAAUGCCGUUCUGAAGCUGAGUUGUGCUCUCUGUGAUCUGCCAGUGCCAGAACCCAUCUCUAUCAAACUCUUAGUUUGGUUUUUGCUUCUUGCAGGAGCAAUUCGGCCACAUUAUGGGAGUGCUGGAGAAGCUGUGAUUUCAGACCCAAGGAAUGUUAUUUCUUCUUACUGAAGAGUGCUCAGACCUCUCUGUGAGCAAGCUCAGCUCAGCUGAGCUCUGAAAUAACUGUAUCCUUGUGAGCUGCAGUUUUCCCAAGUUGGUGCAGACACUGAAUACUGGAUUUGUCCCAUCCUGCUGCUACUACAUCCUACUUUCCCUAUGGUGAGCUCCCUGGGGCUGCAGUGAUCCUCUGAGCUUUGGGCUGGGCUGUUCUCAUUGCAUUUGUGGUCUUUCCCAGUGUCCAGAGUAAACCAAUCCAUGGUGGAGGCAGAGCUUCUGCUGCUGGGUGGUGCACAGAUUCACUCUGGACAUGGGGAACGUGGAAGGGGAGAAGGGAUUACAUAGCAACCAACACAAGCAGUAUGGUACAUCAAUGGAGUUAAGCAUGAAUUAUAGUAGAAUCAUAGACCCAUAGUCAUAAAAUGGUAGAAUUUGAGUUGGAAGGACCCUUUAAUAUCAUUUGGUUCCAGUCCAACCAUGGUCAGGAGCACCUCCCACCAGACCAAGUUGCCCCACAUCCCAUCCAGCCUGACAUUUUUAUGCUGCAUCUGGCCUGACCAAGGUUACAAAUCCCUGUGAGAAGAUGCUCUGCACUCUAAUGGAGAUCAGCCCCAGAUACUUGUCCUGGGUGACCACUGACUUCCGCUGUGAGAUGGGGAUCCUCUUUUUCAGGUUAUGAAUAUAGGAACUAGCAAAUUAGGAGCCCUGAGCACCUGGCUGUUGGUAUCUGCUGGUCAGAGGAUGGACCUUCCCACCUCAGACAAUCUAGGGCUCUGUGCUUCAUGGGGAAUCCUAGCAGCACCAGGAGGUGAAAACCAUCAAUGUACCCCUAUGCCGGUUGAUGCACAAAUUGCUUUUUUUUUAAUGUCUCCUUAUUUCUUGGAAAUAAUAUUUCUUUUUCCUUCAUCACUGGGGAGCAAAGUACCCCUUGGGGUAAGGGCACACCAUAUAUCAAAUAUUACUCUUCCCAAUGGGGUAUUUUUCCUUAGAUAAUUAAGCAGUUCAUGGCAGAUUUAUUGUGCUAUGGAUAGCCUGGUACCAUGCAUAUUUUUUUCCUUCCAGGUCACAAGCUCUGCCUCAGAAUCAUUCUGAAGGUUGCUGUAGACUGGGAAACUUAAUUCUUGCUCCCAUACACCCUAUGAAACAGGAAAGAAAAAGUGAUUCUCUCUAUAGUGUUAUCCACCCUCCCAUAUUCUAUGUCUUACACGCAGAAGUAUGUCUACUAGAUCCCAGUUUGGGGCUGUAUUGGUGGAAUGGGACUAAGGUUGCUAAACCAGGAAAGGUUCUGCUGUACACAUGAGGUCUGGCUGGCCAACAGCAUCCCUUUUUCCUGCUACUCCACUUGUGGCUGUGCCUGAGAGGGAAAGUGGGUGGUUCAUCACCCACCUUGGCCAGUGCAGAAUGGCUCAUUGGGUGUGAAGAGAAGGAUGCCCAAAGCCUUGGGACAGCAUGGCAUGAACCACAAGGAUGUCUUCCCUGGAGGACCCAAGGAAUGACCUGUUGAAUGCCCCACACACUUUAGCAGCAUCACUGCCCCAUCUGUGUAAUUAAGUGCAUCUUGAUUUAGUAACCACGCAGUGGCUUGGGAAGUGAAUUUAGCUAAAUCAAAUUAAGCCACUUCAGUUCUGAAUGAGAACAUCCUCGCAGGGUCUUAAUGCAGUUUAACUGAUAUGCUGCGUACAUUAACUCAGAUUAAUUUUCCCCAGUGUCUCUGGGUAGAUGAGCCUUCAGAACCAAAGAGGCCUGAAUUUGUUUUAGGCUGAUUUAUUUUAGGAAUGAGUUACAUAAAUCAAAUUAUGGCUCCUUGGACUCAUGGAUGGGAGCAGUGGGUUGACGUGGUUUGGGCUGGAUUGCUUUGAGAGCAGAGCUUGAGCUCAUUUGCACUCUUGGACACAGGUAUUCCUGAGGUCAACUUUUGAAUUUCUACUCAGGACAGGGCCCGAAAAAUUGGGGAAAGCUCUUCCAUCCACUGCUGUGAUUGAAGACAUCUGGGAAUCUGCAGGCAUUGCUGUGAAGAAUGGAAACCAUCAUGCAGAGCCACUGGUAGGACUGGGCAUGGAGCUGGAGAUGGACCCCCAGAGGAUGUGUAACCCAAAAGCCCUCACUGCUACCUGAGCCAAAAAGCCAUGAACCAUUUUGGCUCCGCUGCUUGCAAGAGGUCUCAUGGUCAAUCUCUGCACGUGUUCAGGUGAGCUUUGAGCUUUUUAAAGGGCUUUUUUUUCGUUUUUUUUUCGGCUGAAGACUAAUUCUAAGGAUGAUAUUUAUUGUUUCUUUGAAGCUGCUGCAUCCUUUCUUCCAGAGAAACCUUUCUGUCUGUCCUGGGAUGUCACAUUGCCCAACACGGCUCUCUGAAGAAGAGUAAUUCCACCCCAGUGCAACCUAUGGCAGUAGAAGACUGAAGACUUGUCUUCUCUCCCCAUGCAGACAGAGCCCAAGAGCCCUGGCUUUUAAGCAUCUGCGUCAAGAUUCACCCCUUCCUGCUAAACUCCUUUAAACGAGCUCUCGAUAAUAAAUAAAACAAAUCCCAAGC